AAGUCUCACUCUCACAUUUCUAUGAAGGACUUUCAAGUAGAAAACAUGCUUGUCUCAGUUGAGGAUUUCACAAUUAUCAAAUGUUCUGAAAGAAAUUAGGAGAUAAUUAGGAGAUUUAAAAUAUCUCAACUCUCAAUUUGCCAUGGCUUUCUCAUAACUUAUGAUGGUUGGUAUGUGCUUUGAAAGAUUUCAUUUUAGAUAUAUAUAAGGUGAUCAGAGGAACUAUCAUGUUGUGCAUAGAAGCCUAGUGCUUUAGGAGUCAAUCUAUGUUUUCCACUCUCUUGCACUUAAGGUUGUUGCAUUCACUGGUUAAAUGGUUUAAAUCAGCCAAAACAAGGUUUGCACAAAGGGAGGCAAAUGGAUCUUUCUUGCAGGUGCCUUCAAGCUAUAGUUGACCUCUUCUCUAGUCACAGGUACACCAUCUGCUUCCAAAAGGCAAAGACGAGUGCAUCAGAGAUUGUAAAGCAGACUUUUCCCUGGCACAAGCAAGCAGUAUUGAUAGUUGACUCUGCAUAGCAUAAUUGAAUGAUUAAUUCUGCUUCCUGUUACUCAAAGCAUAUUUUGCUUACUGUGUCAAUGUUGACAGGAAAAUGACAUGCCGCGGCGACUUGGUUAUAAAGCAAUGUUUUUGACAUUACCUUCAUCUCAAUUAUUCAGAAAGUUAAGAUUCUUCAACUCAUGAAUUGUGAUGAAGUCAUUCAUAUCAAGUUUCCUAUUGCUGGUGCAAAUCUGUUGCAUAGUCACACUCUGUGGCAACUUGUCGAUGCAUGGAAAUCUGUGGCGUGAUGCAAUCUGUUUUGAGUUAUAAAAUUUUAGAUUCUUCA